AGCUAAUAGAUACCUGGUAGUCCACGCCGUAAACGAUGAGUGCUAGACGUUGGGGCCCUUAGGGCUUCGGUGUCGCAGCUAAACGCAUUAAGCACUCCGCCUGGGGAGUACGGCCGCAAGGUUAAAACUCAAAGGAAUUGACGGGGGCCCGCACAAGCGGUGGAGCAUGUGGUUUAAAUUCGAAGCAACGCGCAGAACCUUACCAGCCCUUGACAUGGGCGUCGCGGGUCCAGAGAUGGACCUUUCGGUUCGGCCGGACGCGCACAGGUGCUGCAUGGCUGUCGUCAGCUCGUGUCGUGACGAUGUUGGGUUAAGUCCCGCAACGAGUCGCAACCCCGAUCUUCAGUUGCCAGCAUGUAAUGGUGGGCACUCUGGAGAAACCGCCGGUGACAAGCCGGAGGAA
rnacentral:rRNA from 1 species